GGUUAACGCAUAAGACAUAAAUAGCGAAUUCGGUUGCUUGCACUGGUGCGCACUAAGGCUUGUUUACAUACUUUACAUCAGUAUUCUUAUAUUUAAGAAUACAUGUUCAAAAACUAUUUAACCGAAAAAAUACUUCUAUGGAUGUUGUACAGAUCAUUUUACUGGUUAAGAAGUAUUUUAAGAAGAAUUUAAGAUGAUUCUUAAAUAUAAAAAUUGACAAUAAACAAGCCUUAAUAUACACUCAGUGCGCAUUAGUGCAAGCAACCGAAUUCGCUAAAGCCCGUAUCAGACUAAUGAUUGGGAUUGAGAUUGGAUUGAAAUUUGACGAAUCAGAACAAAGUUUUUAAAACUUUUGCUUAAUUUACUUGCUCUGAUUGGUUAGAUUUCGUUCCAAUCUCAAUCUCAAUCGUUAGUCUGAUACAGACUUUAUAGUACAUAACCGUUGCAUGGCAACUAGAGACCCUAAGGCUGAAAUCACAUGGUGCGGAAUAGAGCUGCGGAAUAGAGCUGCGGAAUAGAAAGUGCGUCAUAGAAGCAACCAAUCCGAGCUAUUUCGCAUUUUCUGUUCCGCAAAUGUUUAACCGGCCUGUUCCCAUGGUGCGUCAUAGACGGGCAAUGACGCAUCCAGAAUGAAAAUUAUAGAUGUAAUACAACUUUUAUUAAAUAAAUCAAACGUUUUUAUAAAAUGUAAUAUUUGUAAUAGCAAUAAUAGCAUUAAUAUAAUAUUAUAUGAAAUUUUGUAUUAAAUAUUAAAAAGUUGAAAACAAUAUUUUUGAAUUUUUGAACAGCAUCAACGCAUUCUGAUGCGGUAAAGCUCUGAUUGGCUGCUUCUAUGACGCACGUUCUAUUCCGCAGCUCUAUUCCGCAUCAUGUGAUUUCAGCCUAAGGGUUCUGGCAGACAAGCGCAAUUUCCGUCGCGCGCGACGCGCGAUAUCCAAUGGACGUACAGAGAUGGGCGGAAAGGCGGUCGCUCAUUGGACAUCGCGCGUCGCGCGCGACAGAAUCCGCGCUGGUCUGCUAGAGCCAUAAUGGCUCUCGCACACUAGACGCAAUAAGCGACAAGCGAUGAGAGAUAUCCAAUGAGAGCUCUACAUUUGUGAACAUUUCAUCGCCAUCACAGUUUAGUUAUAACCAGUUACGACAGUACAGUCGGAACCUUUGAUGUUUAUGUUACCUAGUCACGUGACCAUCCGCCAUGUUUUGGAUUGUAAGAAAGCGCGUUAUUCGAAGAUAUAAAA